rnacentral:rRNA from 1 species
GAUGAACGCUGGCGGCGUGCUUAACACAUGCAAGUCGAACGGUGAAGCCCAGCUUGCUGGGUGGAUCAGUGGCGAACGGGUGAGUAACACGUGAGCAACCUGCCCCUGACUCUGGGAUAAGCGCUGGAAACGGCGUCUAAUACUGGAUACGAGACGUGACUGCAUGGUCAACGUUUGGAAAGAUUUUUCGGUUGGGGAUG